AGGAGGAACAACCCCAGUGGUGGCGGCCAGCCCUGGAGCCGUGAAUUCAACUCACACAUUAACUACAGAGCUCUCAGUCUGCAGGGCUUGGAGGCUCCGGGGUGGG
rnacentral:pre_miRNA from 1 species